rnacentral:rRNA from 1 species
CUUCUCGAGGGAAUUGCCGUUAGUACGGCGAGUGAGCGGCAAAAGCUCAAAUUUGAAAUCUGGCACCUUCGGUGUCCGAGUUGUAAUUUGAAGAAGGUAACUUUGGAGUUGGCUCUUGUCUAUGUUCCUUGGAACAGGACGUCACAGAGGGUGAGAAUCCCGUGCGAUGAGAUGCCCAAUUCUAUGUAAAGUGCUUUCGAAGAGUCGAGUUGUUUGGGAAUGCAGCUCUAAGUGGGUGGUAAAUUCCAUCUAAAGCUAAAUAUUGGCGAGAGACCGAUAGCGAACAAGUACAGUGAUGGAAAGAUGAAAAGAACUUUGAAAAGAGAGUGAAAAAGUACGUGAAAUUGUUGAAAGGGAAGGGCUUGAGAUCAGACUUGGUAUUUUGCGAUCCUUUCCUUCUUGGUUGGGUUCCUCGCAGCUUACUGGGCCAGCAUCGGUUUGGAUGGUAGGAUAAUGACUAAGGAAUGUGGCUCUACUUCGGUGGAGUGUUAUAGCCUUGGUUGAUACUGCCUGUCUAGACCGAGGACUGCGUCUUUUGACUAGGAUGUUGGCAUAAUGAUCUUAAGCCACCCGUCUGAAAACCGGGGACCAAAAAAAAGAAAAAAAAGGCCCGUAGGGGCGCGCCGCGGCGCCCCCGGCUUUUUGUUCCGUGCUUCUUUUUCUUUAGCGGGGCCGC